rnacentral:misc_RNA from 1 species
UUUUAUUUUAUGUUUUUUAAUAUAUGUUAGUUUUUUUGAAUGUGUUAUUUAAAUAACAUAUUAAAUAAAAUAUAUAUUGACAUGGAUUUAACAAAGAUAUAUAUUAUUUUAUGUUGCGUAAAUAAAUUGGCAAAAUAGAGAUGGAAUAUAAAAAUAAAAACCCUGGCAAUAACCUACUCAA